UUGUAAGUGUCUAAGGGCGCAUGGUGGAUGCCUUGGCAUCGAGAGCCGAUGAAGGACGUGGGAGGCUGCGAUAUGCCUCGGGGAGCUGUCAACCGAGCGUGGAUCCGAGGAUUUCCGAAUGGGGAAACCCAGCACGAGUGAUGUCGUGCUACCCGCAUCUGAAUAUAUAGGGUGCGGGAGGGAACGCGGGGAAGUGAAACAUCUCAGUACCCGUAGGAGGAGAAAACAAUUGUGAUUCCGCAAGUAGUGGCGAGCGAACGCGGAACAGGCUAAACCGCACGCAUGGGUAACCGGGUAGGGGUUGUGUGUGCGGGGUUGUGGGAGGAUAUGUCUCAGCGCUACCCGGCUGAGAGGCAGUCAGAAAGUGUCGUGGUUAGCGGAAGUGGCCUGGGAUGGUCUGCCGUAGACGGUGAGAGCCCGGUACGCGAAAACCCGGCACCUGCCUAGUAUCAAUUCCCGAGUAGCAGCGGGCCCGUGGAAUCCGCUGUGAAUCCGCCGGGACCACCCGGUAAGCCUAAAUACUCCUCGAUGACCGAUAGCGGAUUAGUACCGUGAGGGAAUGGUGAAAAGUACCCCGGGAGGGGAGUGAAAGAGUACCUGAAACCGUGUGCCUACAAUCCGUCAGAGCCUCCUUUUCCUCUCCGGAGGAGGGUGGUGAUGGCGUGCCUUUUGAAGAAUGAGCCUGCGAGUCAGGGACAUGUCGCAAGGUUAACCCGUGUGGGGUAGCCGCAGCGAAAGCGAGUCUGAAUAGGGCGACCCACACGCGCAUACGCGCGUGUGAAUAGUGGCGUGUUCUGGACCCGAAGCGGAGUGAUCUACCCAUGGCCAGGGUGAAGCGCGGGUAAGACCGCGUGGAGGCCCGAACCCACUUAGGUUGAAGACUGAGGGGAUGAGCUGUGGGUAGGGGUGAAAGGCCAAUCAAACUCCGUGAUAGCUGGUUCUCCCCGAAAUGCAUUUAGG
rnacentral:rRNA from 1 species